UUAGAGUUUGAUCCUGGCUCAGGACGAACGCUGGCGGCGUGCUUAACACAUGCAAGUGGAGCGACGAACCAGGCUUCGGCCUGGGGCAGAGCCGCGAACGGGUGAGUAACACGUGGGCAACCUGCCCCGAAGAUCGGGACAACCCGGGGAAACCCGGGCUAAUACCGAAUGUGGUCACCGUCCACAAGGACGAUGAGCAAAGGGAGCUUCGGCCCCCGCUUCGGGAUGGGCUCGCGGCCUAUCAGCUUGUUGGCGGGGUAACGGCCCACCAAGGCGACGACGGGUAGCUGGUCUGAGAGGAUGAUCAGCCACACUGGGACUGAGACACGGCCCAGACUCCUACGGGAGGCAGCAGUGGGGAAUAUUGCGCAAUGGCCGAAAGGCUGACGCAGCGACGCCGCGUGUGGGAUGACGGCCUUCGGGUUGUAAACCACUGUCGGGAGGAACGAAUACCGGACGUCGAAUAGGCGAUCCGGGGUGACGGUACCUCCAAAGG
rnacentral:rRNA from 1 species